AGUGAACGCUGGCGGUAGGCCUAACACAUGCAAGUCGAACGGCAGCACAGUAAGAGCUUGCUCUUACGGGUGGCGAGUGGCGGACGGGUGAGGAAUACAUCGGAAUCUACUUUUUCGUGGGGGAUAACGUAGGGAAACUUACGCUAAUACCGCAUACGACCUACGGGUGAAAGCAGGGGAUCUUCGGACCUUGCGCGAUUGAAUUAGCCGAUGUCGGAUUAGCUAGUUGGCGAGGUAAAGGCCCACCAAGGCGACGAUCCGUAGCUGGUCUGAGAGGAUGAUCGGCCACACUGGAACUGAGACACGGUCCAGACUCCUACGGGAGGCAGCAGUGGGGAAUAUUGGACAAUGGGCGCAAGCCUGAUCCAGCCAUACCGCGUGGGUGAAGAAGGCCUUCGGGUUGUAAAGCCCUUUUGUUGGGAAAGAAAAGCAGCAGGUUAAUACCCCGCUGUUCUGACGGUACCCAAAGAAUAAGCACCGGCUAACUUCGUG
rnacentral:rRNA from 1 species